rnacentral:rRNA from 1 species
AUGAGCGCCCACGUGUGGAGGUCAUUCUGCACUGCCGGCCGGCUUCCGACGGACGCCACGACACGCCUCACCUUCCCGGCCAACAUCCGGGGCGCCCUGCGGCCGCCGCUCCCAGCCCGCUACUACGGGAACGGGAUCAUCGUCCUGGGCGCCGCUGGCAGGGUGCGGGACAUCGAAUCUGAGGAGCUGGGCUCCGUUGCCCGCCGGAUCAGCGGCGCGGUCCGCAGGAUGGAUGACGAGUUGGUGCGUUCGGUGAUCGACUACUUGGAGAUAAACGGCAGCAAGCAGCCCCCCAGCAGCAUGCCGGAGACCGAGCUGAGGGUGAUCAGCUGGCUGGGCAUGCCGGUAUACGGCACUGGUGAUGCACCGCGCCGUGCAGCAGCGCGCGGGAUUCGUCUACCUCAUGGACGGCGUCAGUGGGAGUGGCGGCGUGCGCAUCCUCGUGUUGACGGAGGCUGCGAUUCUCAACGACUUUCAGCACCUGCUACCAACUUCUGGAUUUAA